rnacentral:rRNA from 1 species
CGGGGGCCGCCGGCCUACCCAUUGCAAGUCGAACGGUAACAGGAAGCAGCUUGCUGCUUUGCUGACGAGUGGCGGACGGGUGAGUAAUGUCUGGGAAACUGCCUGAUGGAGGGGGAUAACUACUGGAAACGGUAGCUAAUACCGCAUAACGUCGCAAGACCAAAGAGGGGGACCUUCGGGCCUCUUGCCAUCGGAUGUGCCCAGAUGGGAUUAGCUUGUUGGUGGGGUAACGGCUCACCAAGGCGACGAUCCCUAGCUGGUCUGAGAGGAUGACCAGCCACACUGGAACUGAGACACGGUCCAGACUCCUACGGGAGGCAGCAGUGGGGAAUAUUGCACAAUGGGCGCAAGCCUGAUGCAGCCAUGCCGCGUGUAUGAAGAAGGCCUUCGGGUUGUAAAGUACUUUCAGCGGGGAGGAAGGGAGUAUAAGUUAAUACCUUUGCUCAUUGACGUUACCCGCAGAAGAAGCACCGGCUAACUCCGUGCCAGCAGCCGCGGUAAUACGGAGGGUGCAAGCGUUAAUCGGAAUUACUGGGCGUAAAGCGCACGCAGGCGGUUUGUUAAGUCAGAUGUGAAAUCCCCGGGCUCAACCUGGGAACUGCAUCUGAUACUGGCAAGCUUGAGUCUCGUAGAGGGGGGUAGAAUUCCAGGUGUAGCGGUGAAAUGCGUAGAGAUCUGGAGGAAUACCGGUGGCGAAGGCGGCCCCCUGGACGAAGACUGACGCUCAGGUGCGAAAGCGUGGGGAGCAAACAGGAUUAGAUACCCUGGUAGUCCACGCCGUAAACGAUGUCGACUUGGAGGUUGUGCCCUUGAGGCGUGGCUUCCGGAGCUAACGCGUUAAGUCGACCGCCUGGGGAGUACGGCCGCAAGGUUAAAACUCAAAUGAAUUGACGGGGGCCCGCACAAGCGGUGGAGCAUGUGGUUUAAUUCGAUGCAACGCGAAGAACCUUUAUCCUGGUCUUGACAUCCACAGAACUUUCCAGAGAUGGGAUAUGGUGCCUUCGGGAACUGUGAGACAGGUGCUGCAUGGCUGUCGUCAGCUCGUGUUGUGAAAUGUUGGGUUAAGUCCCGCAACGAGCGCAACCCUUAUCCUUUGUUGCCAGCGGUCCGGAGGGGAACUCCAAGGAGACUGCCAGUGAUAAACUGGAGGCAUGUGGCGAUCACGUCAAGUCAUCAUGGCCCUUACGGCCAGGGCUACACACGUGGUACAAUGGCAUAUACAAAGAGAAGCGACCUCCUACAGAGCAAGGCGGACUUCCAUAAAACGCGUCGUAUACACGGAUUGAUUUUUUGCCCC